rnacentral:lncRNA from 1 species
UUGGGACUGCCUAUUAUGUCUAGGCCCCGGUUUGAGUCAUGAAAAGUUGGUGUCAGAUCUUUAGGCUUUGGUGUCAUGGGGUAUCUAUAAAGUUUUGUUGAGUAGAGUCUUUCUUAUGGGUGUGUUGUGCACCAUACUUAUAAAUAGGAGGCUACGAGCUAUUUAGGAUGUUUUACUUUCUUGGUAUUCUCUAUUCGGGC